UACGGAGGGUGCGAGCGUUGUUCGGAAUUACUGGGCGUAAAGGGCGCGCAGGCGGCUGCUCAAGUCAGGCGUGAAAGGCCUGGGCUCAACCCGGGAAUUGCGCUUGAGACUGGGCUGGCUUGAGUGCGGGAGAGGAUGGUGGAAUUCCCAGUGUAGAGGUGAAAUUCGUAGAUAUUGGGAAGAACACCGAUGGCGAAGGCAGCCUCCUGGGCCAGCACUGACGCUCCAUGCACGAAAGCGUGGGGAGCAAACAGG
rnacentral:rRNA from 1 species